rnacentral:rRNA from 1 species
GAUGAACGCUAGCUACAGGCUUAACACAUGCAAGUCGCGGGGCAGCAUGGGGGUUGCUUGCAAUCCCCGAUGGCGACCGGCGCACGGGUGAGUAACGCGUAUCCAACCUGCCCUUCACCACGGGAUAACCCGGCGAAAGUCGGACUAAUACCGUAUGUUGUCCAUUGACGGCAUCCGAUUUGGACGAAAGGUUUGGCGGUGAAGGAGGGGGAUGCGUCCGAUUAGCUGGACGGCGGGGUGACGGCGCGCCGGGGCGGCGAUCGGUAGGGGUUCUGAGAGGAAGGUCCCCCACACUGGAACUGAGACACGGUCCAGACUCCUACGGGAGGCAGCAGUGAGGAAGAUUGGUCAAUGGGCGUAAGCCUGAACCAGCCAAGUAGCGUGCAGGAUGACGGCCCUAUGGGUUGUAAACUGCUGUUAUGCGGGGAUAAAGUGGCCCACGUGUGGGUUUUUGCAGGUACCGCAUGAAUAAGGACCGGCUAAUUCCGUG